CAGCAAGAACUUUUUCUUUAAAUUUAUUAAAAAGAGAGUUCCACCACGUCCCCAACCUCCCUCCUCUACUGCUACUUCGGUCAGUGGGAACUCAAGUUUUAACAGCCCAUCAGCUUCAUUAUACCCGUAUUC